UACAGAGGUCCCAAGCGUUGUUCGGAUUUACUGGGCGUAAAGGGCGCGUAGGCGGACCUUCAAGUCGGAUGUGAAACCCCCGGGCUUAACUCGGGGCCUGCAUUUGAUACUGUCGGUCUUGAGUACAGGAGAGGAGAGUGGAAUUCCAGGUGUAGCGGUGAAAUGCGUAGAUAUCUGGAAGAACACCAGUAGCGAAGGCGGCUCUCUGGACUGAUACUGACGCUCAAGCGCGAAGGCUUGGGGAGCAAACAGG
rnacentral:rRNA from 1 species